CCUACGGGAGGCAGCAGUGGGGGAUAUUGCACAAUGGGGGAAACCCUGAUGCAGCGACGCCGCGUGUAGGAAGACGGUCCUCUGGAUUGUAAACUAAUGUCCCCAGGGACGAAGAUGACGGUACCUGGGGAGGAAGCUCCGGCUAACUACGUGCCAGCAGCCGCGGUAAUACGUAGGGAGCGAGCGUUGUCCGGAAUUACUGGGUGUAACGGGAGCGUAGGCGGGGAGGCAAGGUGGGUGUUAAAUCUACCGGCUCAACUGGUGGGCGCCCUCAAAACUGCAGCUCUUGAGUGAAGUAGAGGCAGGCGGAAUUCCUAGUGUAGCGGUGAAAUGCGUAGAUAUUAGGAGGAACACCAGUGGCGAAGGCGGCCUGCUGGGCUUUUACUGACGCUGAGGCUCGAAAGUGUGGGGAGCAAACAGGAUUAGAUACCCUGGUAGUC
rnacentral:rRNA from 1 species